rnacentral:lncRNA from 1 species
AUGGCACUUUCAAAAGCAAUGAAUUCUUCCCUCCUUUCACACUGGGAUCUAAGUAGCAUUAUCAUACAGCUGCACUGUCCUCGGUGUGUGGCAGGUUCCCAGUCUCCUGUGUUGCUCUCCACAGUUCCCAGUCGUCCUGGUGUUGCUCUCCACAGGUUCCCUGUCUCCUGGUUGCUCUCCACAGGUUCCCGGUCCCUGGUGUUGCUCUCCACAGGUUCCCGGUCUCCUGGUGUUGCUCUCCGUAGGUUCCCAGUCUCGGUGUUGGCUCUCCGUAGGUUCCCAGACUCCUGGUGUGUUGCUCUCCGCAGGUUCCCAGACUCCUGGUGUUGCUCUCCGCAGGUUCCCAGUCUCCUGGUGUUGCUCUCCGUAGGUUCCCAGUCUCCUGGUGUUGCUCUCCGUAGGUUCCCAGUCUCCUGGUGUUGCUU